CAGGCUGAUCUCUGAGUUGAAGACCAGCCUAGUCUACAAAAACGAGUUCUGAGCCAGUUAGGGCUAUACAGUGAGAUCCUGUCUCACAAAAACAACAACAACAACAAAAAUAAUAUGAAAGCGCUAGUAAAGAUCUAAUUUAUAGAAAAGGCCUUAAAUGUUAGCAAAGAAAUACAGUUCUCAUGUGAACACUCGCAGUACUAGGGAGGAAAAGGUGGGGAGAAUCUUCUGCUGUUUGAGGCCGGCCUGGUCUGUGUAACCGAUUAUAGGUCAGGCUGCUGCUGGUUCUGCUUUUCUGUUUGUUUUUGAGAUGGCUUCUCCCUACACAGCCCAGGCUAACCACUGCCUGAUGGGAUCUUCCUGCUUUAGCCUCCACAGUGUAGUGUUGGAAUUACAGGUAUGUGCAUCAGUACCCAGCCUAAAAAUUGGUUGUACUGCUGCAAACAUAAUGUAAGUAAAGCAACAAGACAAGCACUUAACGUUGAAGUUGGAAACUGGACAGAUUGUCAAUGUGGAUAAUUAAUAUAAUGGUGCCCGUCUUGCCAUGUUACCUCAAUCAAUGGUUUGUUUUUUAAUGUUUAAAUUCUAUUGCUUAGGGCCUUGAGAGAGUUCCUGCAGAGUACCUGGGUUCUAUUCCCAGCACCCAUAUCCAGUGACUCACAAUGGAUUGUAACUCCAGCUCUGCAGAUGUCCUGGGGUACCUGUACUGAUGUGUAGAUACCCUCCCCCCACACAAUUAAAACAAUACAAAUAAAUUGUAUGUCUUAAAGUGCAUAGGUUGUAUAUGUAGACAUAAUUAAGAUAAACAGUGGCUCAUCAUUAACUAUAGUGAAUGUGUUUUGGUAAAGAACUGAAAGUUGUUUUGAAUUUGCCUAAAACAAAGUUAAAUCUUGUCAAAAGAACAACAUUUUGAAGUUCUGAUCUUUUAUUUUACUCUCACCUGUUGGAUUUGGGACGUUUAUCCCACCCCCACCCAAUAAGAUCUUUGAUAAUAAAACAUUGUUAUUGUAGUUAAAAAGCUGGAUUUUUAACUUCAGGGACUGGAUUCAUCUCCUUUGUAUACUUGCCAUAUAAACACUAUACCUAGUACCUAGAUUCAGAAUCAUUUGAAAGUCAGUAACAGGAAGCAGUUGUGCCUUUUUGGUGAAUAUUUUGCUUAGAUGUUGUAAUUAGCGACCAUGUGGUAGAUAGCUAUGUUUCUUUUAAGACUAAAUUCGCAGUCUUCUACAUGGAGGUUGGAGUGGAAUCCUGUUUUUUAAUUUUUAAAAUACUGAUUCACUGAUUGGUGUUUGUAGGAGAUGGGGGAGACAGAUACAGGUGGAGACAGUUGGAUACAAUGGCUGUGAAAAGGGGAGAAGUCUGAUGGCAUCCAGAAGUCAGUUCAGCACUUCCACCAUUUGGGUUCUGGGGCUCAAACUAAGACAUCAGGCUAAGCAGUAAGCCCUUCAGUUGCUAAGCCUCCUUGCUGGUGGCUCCCAAUCUUGCUUUCCAAGUGUUGUAAUUCCAGUAUUCCCCAGGCAGAGGUGGUAGGAUUGCUGCACCUGUGAGACCAGCGUGUCUAUGGCAAGGUCCUGGGUGGUGAGACCAUGUCUCAUAAAAACUAAAAGGUGGGGAAAAAAAAUCCUACUUAAAGAGUUACAUUUAAUUUUAGCUCUAGUUCUGAUUGAACUGGAAAAAGUAGGGUCGAAGUUCCUAUCUUCCACAAAUCAGAGAACAGAGGAAUUGAAUGUAGAAAUAUAGUGGGAUCCCAAAUAUGGAGUAGUUUGAAAGGAUUUACUAUUAGUUUGAGAGUAUUAAUAUUUACAUAGAGGAAUGGGGAGUAAAACAGUAAAGUAGGAGAUACAAUGUAAAGCCUGAAUGACUAAGUGCUUCAUGAUUUUAAAUGAAGUCUAGGUAGUUUUGAUUUGUUAGUAUCCCUAGGAAGGUGGGAAGUGUAAACUCAUUCAACUCUGAAGGCUCUGCUUUCUAGGUUGCCAUUGUUCCAUGCAGUGCCUAUAAAUACUGGAGAACUGAUUUAAAGCCAUCAUGAACAUGAUCUAAAAAUAAUUACAUUUUAGUCAGCUAUUACCCUGAGAGAUUAAGUGGCAAGUUAUCAACCUUCAAGUAGAUACUUGUUUUAGGCUCUUUGCUAAUAAGGGUUCUGAAUAUUGCUAUGUAUGUGAUGUUAUACUGGGUAUGUAAAACACGUCAUCUUGUGGUAAGAAAUGUGUUAAGAGAAGUUAUAUCAGGGGUAGACAGGGAAGGGGCUCAGAGUGCCUAGCAGCACUUGUAAGAGCACAGGAUUCAGGUUAAGCUUCCAGCACCCAUGUUCAGAGGAUCUGACACCCUUUUCUGGAUCUUAAGGGGCACCAGGCAUUCAUAUGGUAUGCAUUCAUGCAUGCAGGUAAACACACAUCAAAAUAAAAUAGAUUAAAGAAAAUACCAAAGUGAAUCUAUUAUAAGUGGGCUCUUAAAUCCUCAGUUUUUUGAUAGGUGGAAACUUAGUUUGGAUCUAGAAACCUUUUAUAUUGCUUCUGUUUCUGAGAAUUGAAGAUGUUCUCUUUUAACCGGGUGGUUAUGCCUCAUGACUUGGAGGCAGAGGCAGGCAGAUCUUUGUGAGUUUUAGGCUUAGCCUGGUCUAUAGAGUGAGAUCCAGGACUACACAGAGAAACCCUGUCUUGAACCCCACCCACCAAAAAACCCCAAAGCAACAACAAUGACACCCUCACUUUUAUGUUACUGUGUACAGUUUACCUUGUGAACCUUUUGCUGAAUUCUGAAAAUGUACGCCCCUGUCUCCAAUAUGAUGGAUUUAUUUCUGUGAAUAUACCUGGUGUUCUAUGGCUUCUAAGGGGCUUCAGAGUGAGGAAGAAGGGUGGCCAUUCUAAGAUGGUGAGUGCUGUUAUAAAAGUAGCACUCAUUGUGUGCUUGUUUUAUGCUUAUGGUUGUGUUAAAUGUUUUUCUGUGUGCAUUGAUUUCUAAACAGCUGUAUGAAACAGACGUUCUCUAUUCUCUUUUUGUGAAUGAGAAAAUUAAGGAGAGGUAAUUGACUGAAGAAUGAGUGUUAGAGCCAAUGCUGCCUUCCUGGCUCCUCCUGCAGGGUGACUGCAUUGACCCCCAUAUGCUAAGGAAAAUAGUUGUCAUUAUUUAUCUCAUCCCAGGGCGCUGUUUGUUUCUUGCACCCCUACAUCAUCUUAUUAAUAACUUAAUGAUAUGAAAUAAAGAUUGGGAAAAUUAUAUUUGAGAUGUUAGUUGUACAUGUAGCAUAUGUAAGUUCUUAUUCUGUAUUUUUCUGAUUUUGAAAGUUGAGGUAACUCAGAUGAACAACGUCUUUUGAGUGUAGCUAAUUGCUCACUAUAUUCCAUGCAUGAAUCCCUGGAAUAUAUGUCUCUUGUGAAAAUGAGUUCUGUAUUUCAAAUUCCUUGAUAGGAACUGGAGGUAUAGUUGAGUAACAGAAAGCUUGCCUAGCAUGGUUCAAUGGGCUCAAUCCUCAGGACUGCCAAAAAAUCCUCAAGUGUUGGUACAUUUGUAGUAGGCCCUGAUUUGUUUUGUUUUGUUGUGUGUGUGUCUGUGUGUCUGUGUGUGGUGUGGUGUAAAAUAGACUUGGUAAAAUGUAUCAUUUUAACCUUUUGGUAUGUAGUUCUGCAGUGUUCAGUAUAUUUGCUUGUUGAAUCACUGUAUUAUUACCAACCAUUUCCAGAGCUUCUCAUCUUCCCACUUGUAAUACUUUUUUAAAAAACAUUGACAGCUCAUGAUUUUGUUGAAUGGAGGAGAGCCAUCAUAUCUGCUUUGAUUGUAAAACAUUUUAUUUUUAGAUUUAUAAAUACCAAUUAGAGUUGACAAAUGGGAUUACAUGAAAUUAAAAAAGCUUCCAUAUAGCAAAAUACAAAAAUCUUACCAGUGAACAGACAGCCUGCAGAAUAGGAGAAAAUUUUUGCCAGCUAUACUUUAGACAGAGGGGUUAGUAUCUAGAAUAUAUAAAGAACCACAAAAAUUAAACAUC
rnacentral:lncRNA from 1 species